CUCGGUGGCCCGGGCCUCGCUCUACGACAUGCAGCGCUUCGAGCGGGACCCCUACGGGGAGCGGGCGCGCUAUUCCGCCUUCUGAGGGUCGCCGUGGAGCCCCCCCGGGACUCGCCAACGCUGCCGUGGCCUCGCGGCCCCCGGACGCCGACACUGCGUCAGGUGUGGCCCCGGACGGAGCCGCGUCCCCCCCCCCCCUGAGCCCCCCCUUUUUGUACGGCGCUCCCCCGGCCCCCCCCGGGUCACCCCCGGCCUCGCCCGCCCGUUUUCCAGCAAAAUAAACGUUU